UUGUAUGAAUGAGAGAAGCACUCCUUCUAUAUAAAUGCUUGUUGAGUACUAAAACACUAACAUAUACAUAUUGGUAUAAUUCCCAAUAAAAUACUGUUCUUAAACUUAAACCUUGAUUUGAUAAUCUCAAUUAAUUACUUUAAUAAAAUUGGAAUGCUGAAGUCUGUCAGUUUUGUGGACCCUGAUAACAUCUUUGGAAACCGAAACCUUUUAUAGAUCCCGAUGUCCAAAAAGCCACCAAUUCUGUAUGUGCGUGAUCAUGUUUUAAUACAUGUUGGAACCUCCAUACAGUUAUCCCACUUAAACAAUAUAUUUUUUUCAGAACAACUAGGAAUGAAAUAGGAGAAACAAAAUAAUUACUAUUGUUCUAAAGUGCUUUGUUUAAUACAGGUUUCGGAAGAGUUGUCUUGCUGUGUUAAGGUUGCAAGUGGCCUCUGAUAAGGAAGGGGCAGCAAACUGUAGACAUAUGUUAUAUUAAGUUGCCCUCACUUGUCAGGUCUUGGAAACCCACUUAUUUUAUUGCAGAUGCCUCUAGGAUACCAC